GCCCAAUGAUGAGACCAAGGCGAAUACGAGCUCACUGAAUGAGAGUUGGGUUCUUCUUGCCUUGACUGGCAGGUAAUCUUGGCAGUGCAGGGGAGGCUUCCUGCUCUGCUGUAAGGGCCUGCCUACAGUGACUUGGCUCGACCCAAAUUAUUCUUCUACAGUCAUAGUGGAGUAAUUCCUGGGAUACAGCUGACAGUGUGUGUGUGUGUGUGUGUGUGUGAGAGAACGAGGCAAGGAGUUCACCCAGCUCUCUUUGCUGUUCAGUCAGCAAUGAGUUGCUUCUUUGGUAAUCUGAGGGCA